AGUAUAGUUGUGUUUCAGCACCAGUGGAUCCAACAGUUUAAAGUCAGAUGGACCUCCUCCUCAGCUCCAGGCCUUCAACGAGGUAGUAACAGUGGUAGUAAGAACUAACAGUAGUGUUAUUGUAUCAUCAACAAAAAGUACUGUAUCUAGUCUGAGGAAAAGGAAAACAUGUCAGGUGAAUCAGGAGCUAGCGGACAAACACGCUUGCACUGCUCUCCGACUAGGGAGAGAUUGAAACGAGUUGUGUCACUUUCACUCCCUCUCUCUCUCUCUAGCCCCAUACACACUUUGCAGACGUUGUUUUGCAUAAUCAUUGUGUUUUGUCUCCACGACAGUUCUGUUAACAUUUUUUGUGCAAACAAAAGUUGUAGAACCUGUUUGCGUUCCAGUUGAUGGCUCCUCCAGCAGCACCCAGGAGGGAGCCUCCCAAAUGGAGGGAGAUACUAGUCCCCCCAGUGCCCAGCCUUCCAGAUAAGGUGUCUGUCCUAUACCUGUUCUUCGACACAGAGAGGGGCCACAAAAUCGAAGUCAGAGUAACUGCAGCAUCUGAUGGCAGAGUACGUGAGCAGCAGGAAGCAGUUGACCCUCGGCCCGACCCUCAAUGGCUAUGACUAGGGCCCCCCUACCAUGUGCCCUUCUUCAUGCAUCCCACCGCGACCACUUCACAGCUGCCCAGGGACAGCAGGGACAGGGAGCGCCUUCCCAAUCAUCCUCAGCAACAGCCCGGCCUGGCUGCAGGAGACAGGACCACCGGAAGGCUCUCCCCAGUUCAGUGGAGAGGGCCACAUUCCUAUACUGCCCCUGCCAGUAUGCAACUCAGAUCCAACCG